CUUUUUGGUCUUUUUUUUUUUUUUUAAAUUUAUUUUUGGCUCUUUGAGAUAAGAGUUUCUCUGGGUAUAACCUUAGCUGUCUUGUGCUCUCUCUGUAGACCAGGCUGGCCUUGAACUCACAGAGAUCGCCUGUCUGCCCCUCCGUCUGCCUAAGAUGGUUGCCUCCAUCACCCAGUUUGUCCUUUUGUUUUUAAGACAAGUUCUCAAUGAAGCUUAGGUGGGCUUACUCACUUUGCAGUGUAAGCUGCUUGGAACUAGGGAUCAUUCUCCUGCCUCAGCCUCCCAGAUGCUACUAUGCAGGAGUAAGCCACCACAUCCAGCUGUUUUCUUUUGCCAAGGAUCAAAAGCGGGUUUUAUGCCCGCUAAGGGAGCACUCCGCCAACUGAGCCAUCUCCUAAGGCCUCCAUAAUGGCGUUGAAUGUUGCUCAUAAGUCAUGGUUCAGUGUAGUUGUAUUUCUCCUUUCAAAAUGAAAAAAAGAUGGAUUAAUUGUGCCCACAUGCAGCUCUAUAGCUCUGUGUUGGGAACUGUGUUUAUUAUCUGGGAGUCCUCUUGACGUCUGAUUGUGAGUCAAAACUGUUAGGGUAAAUUUCUCACAGGUUAGGUAAUUGGAAACCUCAGUCUCUGUAAGCCAUAAUUUUCCUAUGUGUAAAAUAGGGAUAAUGGGGGCUGGAGAGAUGACUCAGCCACUAAGAGCAAUGGCUGCUCUUGCAAAGGUCCUGAGUUCAAAUUCCAACAGUCACAUGGGGGCUCACAACCAUCUGUAGUGUGAUCUGAUGCUUUCUUCUGGGAUGCAGGUGUUCGUGCAGGUAGAGCACUCGUAUACAUAAAACAAAACAAUAUUU
rnacentral:lncRNA from 1 species